CGAACGCUGGCGGCAUGCCUAACACAUGCAGGUCGAACGGAGUUUCUUAAAUGGAUCCCUUCGGGGUGAAAGCUUUUGAAACUUAGUGGCGGACGGGUGAGUAACGCGUGGGUAACCUGCCCUUUUGUGGGGAACAACUUCGAGAAAUCGGAGCUAAUACCGCAUAUACUUACGGAAUCGCAUGAUUCUCGUAAGGAAAGAUGGCCUCUGAAUAUGCUAUCGCAAAAGGGAUGGACCCCGCGUCUGAUUAGCUAGUUGGUGAGGUAACGGCUCACCAAGGCGACGAUCAGUAGCCGGCCUGAGAGGGUGAACGGCCACAUUGGGACUGAGACACGGCCCAAACUCCUACGGGAGGCAGCAGUGGGGAAUCUUCCGCAAUGGGCGAAAGCCUGACGGAGCAAUGCCGCGUGAGUGAAGAAGGGCCUUCGGGUUGUAAAACUCUGUCCUUAUUGAAGAGAGGUAGCAGUGUGAAUAAUGCUGUUAUAGGACGGUAAAUAAGGAGGAAGCCCCGGCUAACUACGUG
rnacentral:rRNA from 1 species